rnacentral:tRNA from 1 species
GGUUCCAUAGUGUAGCGGUUAACACGUCUGCCUGUCACGCAGAAGAUCGCGGGUUCAAGUCCCGUUGGAACCGCCA